GAAAUUCAAGUUUUUUGCUUUUUCGAGACGCUAGGAAAAUUAGUGCAUGUCUGAUUAUAGGGAAAAAAUUUUAAACUAUGAUUUAGUUUGGCAAUUAGGUUAAUUAACUUUGAUUUUUAUACUUUUUUCAGGCUAGAGGAAUUUAUUAAGUAGUAAUUAGUUUUACUUUAUCUAUAAAUUGUAGGAUGUAGCAAUAGUUUUUAACUCUAACAAAUAUUUGUGCCAGCAGUUGCGGUUAUACAAAAGGGGGUGGCUUAAUUUUUGUGGUUUUAGUAAAUUUAAUAUUAAAUUUUAAAAUUUAUAUUGGGGGGUGAAAUUUUAAUAUAAAAUUAUAAUUAUGUGAAUAUGAAAUGAUCUAUUAAAAUUUUAUUUUAAACCAGGAUUAGAUACCCUGUUAUUAAAGUUGUUUUAUGGAAAACCGGAUUAGUAUUAGUUAAGUGCUUGAAAAUUAAAUAUCUUGGCGGUACUUCAACCUAUCAGAGGAACCUGUCCUGUAAUUGAUAAUUCACGAUUUAUUUUACUUUUAAGAUUGCUUGUAUAUCGUUGUUGUGAAAAUUUUAUAAAAAAUUUAAUUUUCUUUAUAUAUAAUUUUAUCUUAGAUCAGAUCAAGGUGCAGCUUUUAUAAGAAGAGAUGGGUUACGUUAAUGUUAUUUAAAUUGUAAAUUUGUUUAAAUUAGGAUUUGGUAGUAAUUUUAAUUAAUUAAAAUUUAAUGAAUUGGGCUCUGGAGUAUGUACAUAUCGCCCGUCGCUUUUGUAUUACAAAAUAAGUCGUAACAUAGUAGGUUUAUCGGAAGAUGGCCCUAGAAUGAC
rnacentral:ncRNA from 1 species